rnacentral:rRNA from 1 species
GACGAACGCUGGCGGCGUGCUUAACACGUGCAAGUCGUACGGUAAGGCCCUUUCGGGGGUACACGAGUGGCGAACGGGUGAGUAACACGUGAGUAACCUGCCCACAACUUUGGGAUAACGCUAGGAAACUGGUGCUAAUACUGGAUAUGUGCUCCUGCUGCAUGGUGGGGGUUGGAAAGCUCCGGCGGUUGUGGAUGGACUCGCGGCCUAUCAGCUUGUUGGUGGGGUAGUGGCCUACCAAGGCGGCGACGGGUAGCCGGCCUGAGAGGGUGACCGGCCACAUUGGGACUGAGAUACGGCCCAGACUCCUACGGGAGGCAGCAGUGGGGAAGAUUGCACAAUGGGCGCAAGCCUGAUGCAGCAACGCCGCGUGCGGGAGGACGGCCUUCGGGUUGUAAACCGCUUUCAGCAGGGACGAAGCUUUUUGUGACGGUACCUGCAGAAGAAGCACCGGCUAACUACGUG